rnacentral:rRNA from 1 species
GAUGAACGCUAGCGGGAGGCCUAACACAUGCAAGCCGAGCGGUAUUGUUUCUUCGGAAAUGAGAGAGCGGCGUACGGGUGCGGAACACGUGUGCAACCUGCCUUUAUCUGGGGGAUAGCCUUUCGAAAGGAAGAUUAAUACUCCAUAAUAUAUUGAUUGGCAUCAAUUAAUAUUGAAAGCUCCGGCGGAUAGAGAUGGGCACGCGCAAGAUUAGCUAGUUGGUGAGGUAACGGCUCACCAAGGCGAUGAUCUUUAGGGGGCCUGAGAGGUGAUCCCCACACUGGUACUGAGACACGGACCAGACUCCUACGGGAGGCAGCAGUGAGGAAUAUUGGUCAAAUGGGGUUGCAAGCCUGAACCAGCCAUCCCGCGUGAAGGACGACUGCCCUAUGGGUUGUAAACUUCUUUUGUAUAGGGAUAAACCUACCCUCGUGAGGGUAGCUGAAGGUACUAUACGAAUAAGCACCGGCUAAUCCGUGCC